rnacentral:rRNA from 1 species
AGACGGGGGGGGGACCGAGUCGAUUUAGCAUGCUAGUUGUACGAGUUGAGACUCGUAGCAGAUAGCUCAGUAACACGUGGCCAAACUACCCUAUGGAUCCAGACAACCUCGGGAAACUGAGGCUAAUCUGGAAUAGGGCUCUCAUCCUGGAGUGGAGAGAGCCUGAAAUGCUCCGGCGCCAUAGGAUGUGGCUGCGGCCGAUUAGGUAGACGGUGGGGUAACGGCCCACCGUGCCAGUAAUCGGUACGGGUUGUGAGAGCAAGAGCCCGGAGACGGUAUCUGAGACAAGAUACCGGGCCCUACGGGGCGCAGCAGGCGCGAAACCUUUACACUGCACGCCAGUGCGAUAAGGGGACUCCAAGUGCGAGGGCAUAUAGUCCUCGCUUUUUGCGACCGUAAGGUGGUCGCGGAAUAAGUGCUGGGCAAGACCGGUGCCAGCCGCCGCGGUAAUACCGGCAGCACAAGUGAUGACCGCUGUUAUUGGGCCUAAAGCGUCCGUAGCUGGCCGCGCAAGUCUAUCGGGAAAUCUCUCCGCUUAACGGAGAGGCGUCCGGUGGAAACUGUGUGGCUUGGGACCGGAAGACCAGAGGGGUACGUCUGGGGUAGGAGUGAAAUCCCGUAAUCCUGGACGGACCACCGGUGGCGAAAGCGCCUCUGGAAGACGGAUCCGACGGUGAGGGACGAAAGCUCGGGUCACGAACCGGAUUAGAUACCCGGGUAGUCCGAGCUGUAAACGAUGUCUGCUAGGUGUGACACAGGCUACGAGCCUGUGUUGUGCCGUAGGGAAGCCGUGAAGCAGACCGCCUGGGAAGUACGUCCGCAAGGAUGAAACUUAAAGGAAUUGGCGGGGGAGCACUACAACCGGAGGAGCCUGCGGUUUAAUUGGACUCAACGCCGGACAUCUCACCAGCAUCGACAAUGUGCAGUGACGGUCAGUGUGAGAGCUUACCUGAGCCAUUUGAGAGGAGGUGCAUGGCCGCCGUCAGCUCGUACGUUGAGGCGUCCUUGUUAAGUCAGGGCACGAGCGAGACCCGCACUCCUUAUUGCCAGCACCACCUUGUGGUGGUUGGUACAUUAGGAGACUGCCAGUGCCAAACUGGAGAAGGAACGGGCCACGUAGUCAGUAUGCCUCGAUGUGCUGGCGACCCCGGCUACCAAUGGCCACGAACGUGGAAUGCAACGCCGAAAGGCAACGCUAAUAUCUCAAAACUGGGUU